rnacentral:misc_RNA from 1 species
CAGAGUUGCAAAACUCCCACAAACCAUCGCGAAUCCUACCCGUACGGUUGCCUCGGCGCUGGCGGUCCGGAAGGCCCUCGGGCCCCCGGAUCCUCGGGUCUCCCGCUCGCGGGAGGCUGCCCGCCGGAGUGCCGAAACUAAACUCUUGAUAUCUUAUGUCUCUCUGAGUACACUUUUAAAUAAGUCA